GCCCGAUGAUAUAGGCAAUCUUAGAUUAUGAAUUGAUUCAUUCCAAUUCUCAUAUAGCGCACUAUGCCAGUUUGUUUAAGCAUUUGCGGACUCCCCAUAAAACCAAGGCAUUAGAAUUCAUAAACCAUAGCCACCAUUAGGGGUGCAUAUAAUUUGAAUUAAGCCAAACUUUUGGGGUGUUGACUUGGCUUAUUGGUAUCAACUGUCAAGGUGGUGUUCACUUCAAGGUACGUUAGAGCGUGCCGUAGCUACAUAUUUUGGUUAACCCAUUAGCCUACACU
rnacentral:lncRNA from 1 species